UGGGGAAUAUUGCACAAUGGGCGAAAGCCUGAUGCAGCGACGCCGCGUGAGGGAUGACGGCCUUCGGGUUUUAAACCUCUUUCAGCAGGGACGAAGCGCAAGUGACGGUACCUGCAGAAGAAGCACCGGCUAACUACGUGCCAGCAGCCGCGGUAAUACGUAGGGUGCAAGCGUUGUCCGGAAUUACUGGGCGUAAAGAGUUCGUAGGCGGGUUGUCGCGUCGUUUGUGAAAACCAGCAGCUCAACUGCUGGCUUGCAGGCGAUACGGGCAGACUUGAGUACUGCAGGGGAGAGUGGAAUUCCUGGUGGAGCGGUGAAAUGCGGAGAUAUCAGGAGGAACACCGGGGGCGAAGGCCGGUCUCUGGGCAGUAACUGACGCUGGGGAACGAAAGCGUGGGUAACGAACAAG
rnacentral:rRNA from 1 species